rnacentral:lncRNA from 1 species
UAGUUCUUUACAACAUACAAGAGAGGAUUUGCAUACAAGAUACAGUUUCUCAAAACAAUUAACGAAACAAUAUAAAUCUUCUCAAUCUCCAUUAAUCUUGCAUCAAAUUAUACGAUUUUAUAGUUCCUUACAACAUACAAGACAUGAUUUGCAUAUAAGAUACAGUCUUCUCCAAACAAUUAACGAAACAAUAUAGAUCUGCUCAAUCUCCAUUAAACUGACAUCAAAUUACACGAUUUUAUAGUUCUUUACAACAUACAAGACAUGAUUUGCAUACAAAAUACAGUUUUCUCCAAACAAUUAAUGAAACAAU